AACGAACGCUGGCGGCAGGCUUAACACAUGCAAGUCGAGCGCCCCGCAGGGGGAGCGGCAGACGGGUGAGUAACGCGUGGGAACGUACCCUUUGCUACGGAAUAGCUCCGGGAAACUGGAAUUAAUACCGUAUGUGCCCUACGGGGGAAAGAUUUAUCGGCAAAGGAUCGGCCCGCGUUGGAUUAGCUAGUUGGUGGGGUAAUGGCCUACCAAGGCGACGAUCCAUAGCUGGUCUGAGAGGAUGAUCAGCCACAUUGGGACUGAGACACGGCCCAAACUCCUACGGGAGGCAGCAGUGGGGAAUAUUGGACAAUGGGCGCAAGCCUGAUCCAGCCAUGCCGCGUGAGUGAUGAAGGCCUUAGGGUUGUAAAGCUCUUUCACCGGAGAAGAUAAUGACGGUAUCCGGAGAAGAAGCCCCGGCUAACUUCGUGCCAGCCGCCGCUGUAAGAC
rnacentral:rRNA from 1 species